UUAAAUAAAGUGUUUGCACCUCGGUGAAGUCACCCUGCUGGUGGCCGAGGCCCAACCAUAAGAAUUAUUAAUGUGGGAUACUGUAUUAAUAAUAAGACCACCGUGUAUUCGCCUUUAAUUAGACGCUGUGGUUGGUGUCGCAGGCAGUUCUUCGAUGUAAGCAAUUAGUGUGUGGGGGCGACAAGAAGCUCUAUAGAAAUAUAUCUCGCGAUAAGAUAUAAGCCUGAGAAACUUAUAUCUCCGCUCUCAAAGGAAGCCUUUGACUUGAUGUUAAGCAAUUAACUAUAACCACAUUCUAAGUGCGAGUAGCGAAAUGUCAACGUUCAGUUUAUGGAGUAUAAAAAGAUCGCUGAAGCUUCGUGAAAGUUGAAAGAUAAUCGAACUCUUUCCACUGUUUCGUUACAUUGUAACCAUUCUAGAAGCAUAAAGGUAGCUCCUAUAUGCUCAGCCUAGCGUGAGUGUGUGCGAAUAACAAAUUAGAAUAAUGUUUGUAGGGCGAAGGCCCGCAAACACUUUGUUU
rnacentral:sRNA from 1 species